GGGGGUGUAAUGGUUUCGACAUUAUACUAGAAAGAUAAAUAGCGAGUAGUGGAUGGUCGCUUUGGCCACUAUAAAAAAGCGAGAUUAAAUAUAAACGCUGAUAAUAACGAAUUAGCAUUAGCUGCCUAGUUGUAGCUACGCCUUAUUUUAUGUCCUACACAUAAUUUUAAGGUGCCAUAUUUUGUAGGAAACGAAGCUACUUUUGGCUUUGAAAGUAGUAGGUAUUUAAAAGCUAUAUUUUAAUUAAGCAUGUUUAUUUGCGUAAUUAAAAUGAAUUAAAAGAAUAAACUGCACUCGGAGAAGUUUAUGUGGAAGGUAUAGUGGACAGGAGUUCGACUCUCCUCACCUCCACCA
rnacentral:tmRNA from 1 species